rfam:Aedes aegypti strain Liverpool supercont1.99 genomic scaffold, whole genome shotgun sequence.
AAAAUGGCCCUUUUCAGGGCCAAUUUUUCGAUUAAAGAGUUGU